AACGAACGCUGGCGGCGUGCUUAACACAUGCAAGUCGAACGCGAAAGUUUUCUUCGGAAGACGAGUAGAGUGGCGCACGGGUGAGUAACGCGUAAGUAAUCUGCCCUGGUAUCUGGGAUAACCCACCGAAAGGUGUGCUAAUACGGGAUACGCUGAUUUAUCAGGAAAGGUGGCCUCUUCAUGAAAGCUACUGUACCAGGAGGAGCUUGCGUACCAUUAGCUAGUUGGUAGGGUAAUGGCCUACCAAGGCGACGAUGGUUAGCGGGUCUGAGAGGAUGAUCCGCCACACUGGAACUGAAACACGGACCAGACUCCUACGGGAGGCAG
rnacentral:rRNA from 1 species